GCCGAGUCGAUAGAGCCAUGUCUGUCUGUCCGUUUGUCCGUCUUGUUUGUCGGCUAGUUCUCAGAGACUAUAAGAGCUAGAGCCACCAAAUUUUGCAUCCAGACUGCUAUAUGCUCACACUGAAAAGGCGAAAACCUCCCAAAUCUACAGUUUUGAAGAUAAAAGAAAACUAAAAACGCCAGUCCGUAGGAAAUGGCCAUAUCUAUCAGAUCACCACAUUGGGAUCCGAUCGGAUCAUUACUAUAGCCACAAUGGGGAAAUUAAUUUCCAGUGGCUAAACCCACCCUGUCCCGCAGCUUUUGUUGCUUAUUUUACAUUCUCUCAUUCACACUCUGCUUCUGCUUCACUCGGCCCCUGCCUCUGCCCUCCCCCUGGCGUUGACUCUUCCGACUUUUAACCAAGACUCGGUUUUUAAACCUCUGUAUUAGAAAAAGAGUGACCAUCAAAGUUGCGUACAAGAAAUUUUCAUAGAUGGCGCCACUUUCGAACAAUUUGCUGUGAAACCUAUCGGUCCAAGAAUGUACCAAUAAUAUUGCUGUUUUAAAUAUCUCAUAAAUUGGAAAAUAUUAACUGAUCCAAUUUUUUUGAUGCAUUUUAUUUAGUAGGCUUUUUACUACAUGUUCUGUAAUGUGAACGAUAUCUAGUGGUUGGCGAUGUCUUCUACAUCUAGAUGUAGUCCUGAGUGCCGGGUAUAAAAGUUGUGACUUGUUAUCUCUUUCGUGUCACGUUCUCCGGUACAUGUAAAAAAAAUCAAAUUCGAAUUUGCGCAACUUUUUUUUUUAAUGGAUCGAAACAGCGCGAGAGCGAAGAAUGCACUUAAACGAACUGUUUUAGUUUUGGUUUUUAAUUUUUAACCCCUUUGGGCGCCAAUUAUUAUAUUUCUCCAAGGUACCGUGGCUUCGGCCAACGGAAUUGAGAGACGAAUUUAGUGUUCAAGUAUUUAUUGCCGGCACUACAGGCUCGGUUGAAUAUGAGUGUAAAACUAAAGUACAAAAGUAUGAAUUAUAAAUUGGUACGCCGCGGACGGCUCCAUCGCUUGAGCAGCGCUGCCCGCCAGCGCUCUCCGAUUCCGUCGCGUCAGCUCCACGUGCAGACGUUCUUGGCGGAUGUUUAUGCAACGGACGAAAUAUGAUGCCAGUUCAACUCGAUGCCCGUCCACUCCAGCGCUGUAUCAGCAUUCUUACAAAGUAAGAACAUUGCCGAUACGCUGCCGUUGGUGGGGAGUGUUAACUUGUAUAUACCUACAUUUUGUUUUACUUCUUUUAAUUUCUGCGCAUAUAUCGUUGAGGUUACGUUAAUAUGUACAAAUGUACUUAUGUGAAUUUUCAACGAGAUAUGUAUGUAUAUGUAAAUAAAAAUUAAUACAUUGCUUCUUUUAUAUUCUUUAGAUGCAGUCGAUUUGCCAAAAUAGUCUGCCAAUACUUACUUGGUAAAUUAGAGGUUUCAUCGCUUAUAUUUCACUUAUUCAUACAUUUUUCACAAAUUAAAAUUACAAGAUACGUGGGCACUGCACAUCUUAAAACCUUAAAAAGUAGUCAUGUCAUGUCGAUUGAGUCAUGUCUGUCCGUCCGACUAGUUGAGCGCCUAGAUCUUUUGAAGAUACAAGAAAACGCCAUUCCGUAGGAAAUGACCAUAUCUAUCAGAUCACCGAAUUCGGAUCAUAUUGGAUCAUUAUUAUAGCCAGAAUGAAGAAAUUAAUUUGCAGUGGCUAAACCCACCCCGUCCAGCAGCUUUUUAUGUUUUUUCACAUUCGCUCAUCCCACACUCAGCUUCGCCCAGUGUGCCGCUCUUGGGGAGGGGGGAGAGCUAAAAGUUAUGUAGAAGUAAAUGUAUGACAGACGAAGAAAAAAUUUAAAGUUGGAAAAAACCGCUAAGGUGAGUACCGUGUAUAAAAGUUGUGACGCGUAGGAAGCGUCGCACACGUCCCUUCUAUUUUUUUAAACAAUUGUAAAAGAUGGUUAUACCCGGUACUCGAAGAGUAAAUAGGGUACAUUGUAUUUGUGAGAAUACCAGUUGUAUGUAACGCACAGAAGGAAGCGUUUCCGACCCGAUCAAGUAUAUAUACUCUUCAUCAGCAUCAAUAGCAGAGUCGAUAGAGUCAUGUCUGUCUGUCCGUCUGUCCGUCUUGUAUGUCGGGCGAGAUAAAGGAGAUAUAGAUGUAGAUGUAGAUGACAGAGGAAGAAAAAAUAUUAAAUUAGACAAAAACCGCUAAGAUACAGAUGUAGUACUGAGUACCGGGUAUAAAAGCUGCGACGCUUAAGAAGCGUCUCAAACGUCCCUUCUCGUUUUAAUCUAAUUUCAUAAACGCAGUGAAUUAGAAAAUUAAUAUUUUUGUGAACUUAUGUUAUAUUUUUAUAUGUAUGCUCCAUAUAUUCCUAAGGAACGCAUCUAGAUGCAUGCCAAAGAUGUUUUCUGUAAGGCUUCUUUCGGAAACUAUUCUGGAAGGGAAACCCGGGCGUUUUACGAAGUCUAAAUUACAACAACCACCACUUCUAAAAAGGAAGGAUUCUGGCGUGUUUUACCCCCUGUAAAAUUGAAGCGAAAACGUAACGCAUAUCGUACGCAUGCUUAGUGAAAGAGGGAGCGAUACAGAAGUACUGUUUGGAAGCAACAAGGAACGACUGGGUGGGAAGUCAACGCACCAACACAUACAUUACGUGCAGUGUCCGUGCAAAUCAAGAAAAACCCGGUUUGGAGCGCUAAUAAAUAACAAGGAAAACUUGUGUAUCAUUGGCUGCACUCUUGUGUCCGAUCUAGUAUACCCCACAGUACCAGAAAACAUCGAUGACGACGUAAUUACAAUUGUGCAGUGAAUUUUCGCUGUUUUUUGGUCAAAUGUAUUCAUAUGAAAAUACAUAAUGCAUUAUUUUUUACCUGGUGUUCAGUGUUUCAGUUAAAUAAUUGUAUUAAAUUGUAUCUUAAAUGUAUGCGUUUUACACAAAAUUUCAAUUUGCAAACGGUCCAUCAACAAAAACCGAAAAACCAAUCCUAAAGUCGAACAGGUACACAUUUUGACGGGAGUUUUGUCUUUUUUUUUUGGAUGACCAUAUCAACAAAAUACAGAACAUUUUUGAGACGGUCUCAUCCUGGAAGGAUUUUGAAAGUAAGUUUAAGCAAAUAAGCAAACAAAAACAAGUAUAUAUUAAUUAAUUCACUUAAUUUCAGAGGUGAUUCAGAAAAAGAGCACGAAAAAAUAACAAUUUGGGAAAUACGAACAGCAGCUUAACUAAAAGGUUCUGUGAAAAAAACACAGAACAAAACGAAAUGUAAAUUUUAUAAUUAAAAGGAAAUAAAAAAGUUUUAUACUCAAUUUGCACAAGUUUUUUUUUUUCAGAAAAAUCUUUACCUAUUAAUGCAUUACUUUUUGGAGAAAUUCAUCACUUAUUUAUGCAUUAUUUUUUAGGAAAAUUCAGCACUUAUUAAUGCAUUAUAUUUUAGGUAAACUCAUCUCUUAUAAAUGGGUGUGCUCUCGACGAGUCUCGUCAUCACUUAUGCUCCUAGGACAUCUCCGUGUUAACUACAUCAGAUUUUUGUAUGAAAAGUCAUCGCUUUUGUCAGAUGGAUAAAUGACGAUAUGUCGUCGCUUACACAUCGAUGACCCGUACUGCAGGGUACUGCAUGGUUAGUGUUUCAGCCUAGUACUCAGAUCCAAAAACGUUUGCAAACGGUGCAAUUACGGAGUAAAGGGUACUGUUAAAUGGGAAUCCAUACUCAUAUUCCAUUCCUAGAAUACUCAUACAUAUGUAUAAACAAACGACCCUCCUGGUUUCUUUCCUGCAUAUAUGGGUCUACUCAAUGUUGUCGGCGCUUUUUCCGUUGAUUGGCCUCCUCCACCGCCAAUGCAAGAGAAACCAAUUCCAUUAAAAUAAAUUUCCUGAACGGAUCGAUUUUAAUUUCAUUAUUUUAAUUACCUUCUAUUCACUUUUCACAUAGUUUCAAAAAGUAAAAAAAGCAAAACACUGCCCAGUGUAACCGAACGGAAUGCGCCUUUCACCUCUGGCCACACUCUUCCGCUCACAAAGUAUAGUGCACAGUUUGCUAGUAAAUGUUAUUUCGGAUCUGAGUCCUAGGCUUCACGCAAAGAAGGAAACUUUUCCGACCUAAUAAAGUAUAUAUAUACUUCAUCAGAAUCAAUAUCCGAGUCGAUAGAGCCAUAUCUGUCUGUCCGUCUUGUUUGUCGGCUAGUUCUCAGAGACUAUAAAAACUAGAGGCACCAAAUUAAUCCUACAUACGUAUUUUCACGAACCUUAGCAGCAGCGUUAGCAGCUCCGAACUGUGCAAUCAUUCGAAUGUCGUUUAUGUUUCCCACUGUCCGUAGUUCGCCACUUUGCUUGGGUGUAAUAAAGAUAAGAGCGCUCAACCUUGAAUAUCGUUUAAGAGCGGCUAAAGCUUGACACACGACAUUAUUAGGGUAUCCACAUUUUUGAAGAUCAGAGAAAUCUAAAAACGCCAUUCCGUAGUGAAUAAUUAUAUCUAUCAGAUCACCGAAUUGCGAUCCGAUUGGAUCAUUAUUAUAGCCAGAAUGACGAAAUUAAUGUUCAGUGGCUGCGUCCACCCCGUCCAGCAGCUUAUUUUUUUGUUUUGCACAUUCUCCCAUUCCACACUGUUUCGUGUAGUGUGCAGUUCUAGGGGAGGGGGAAGUGAUGUAGAUGGCGAUGACAUAAGUAGAUAAGAUGUAAAAUGUGUUUUUGUGUCAUUACUAUAAGGAUCUAAGGUUUAGUCUCUUCUAAUUACGCUUAUGUAUGGAUGCGUAUAUUAUAUUUAUAUAUUGUCUAUGUUUCGUGUGGCGCAGUAGCCUCUAUACCUGCAGAAAAGCCUUCGGGCUUACUUCGUGACAUGGGGAAAACAUACACGGUUGGGCACCCGUGGAUCCUGGCGUCAACCAUGCAACUACCAAUAUGGACGGACUACUGUAUUCCGAUGGAUCACCUCUCUACGCCUUUCCAGG
rnacentral:lncRNA from 1 species